AUUGAACGCUGGCGGCAUGCCUUACACAUGCAAGUCGAACGGCAGCACGGACUUCGGUCUGGUGGCGAGUGGCGAACGGGUGAGUAAUGCAUCGGAACGUACCCGGUAGUGGGGGAUAACUACCCGAAAGGGUGGCUAAUACCGCAUAUACUGUGCGCAGGAAAGCAGGGGACCUUCGGGCCUUGUGCUACCGGAGCGGCCGAUGUCAGAUUAGGUAGUUGGUGGGGUAACGGCCUACCAAGCCUGCGAUCUGUAGCGGGUCUGAGAGGAUGAUCCGCCACACUGGGACUGAGACACGGCCCAGACUCCUACGGGAGGCAGCAGUGGGGAAUUUUGGACAAUGGGCGCAAGCCUGAUCCAGCCAUGCCGCGUGAGUGAAGAAGGCCUGUGUAAGA
rnacentral:rRNA from 1 species